GAUGAACGCUUUGCUACAGGCUUAACACAUGCAAGUCGAGGGGCAGCAUGCCGGUUGCUUGCAACCGGUGAUGGCGACCGGCGCACGGGUGAGUAACGCGUAUCCAACCUUCCCGCGACCAAGGGAUAACCUGCCGAAAGGCAGACUAAUACCUUAUGUCCUCCUUUGAAGGCAUCUGACGAGGAGCAAAGAUCCGUCGGUCACGGAUGGGGAUGCGUCCGAUUAGCUUGUUGGCGGGGCAACGGCCCACCAAGGCAUCGAUCGGUAGGGGUUCUGAGAGGAAGGCCCCCCACACUGGAACUGAGACACGGUCCAGACUCCUACGGGAGGCAGCAGUGAGGAAUAUUGGUCAAUGGGCGGAAGCCUGAACCAGCCAAGUAGCGUGCAGGAUGACGGCCCUACGGGUUGUAAACUGCUUUUAUGCGGGGAUAAAGUUGCCCACGCGUGGGUUUUUGCAGGUACCGCAUGAAUAAGGACCGGCUAACUCCGUGCCAGCAGCCGCGGUAAUACGGAAGGUCCGGGCGUUAUCCGGAUUUAUUGGGUUUAAAGGGAGCGCAGGCCACCGUGCAAGCGUGCCGUGAAAAGCAGCGGCCCAACCGCUGCCCUGCGGCGCGAACUGCUUGGCUUGAGUGCGCCCGAAAGCGGGCGGAAUUUCGUGGUGUAGCGGUGAAAUGCUUAGAUAUCACGAAGAACCCCGAUUGCGAAGGCAGCCCGCUGUGGCGCCACUGACGCUGAGGCUCGAAGGUGCGGGUAUCGAACAGGAUUAGAUACCCUGGUAGUCCGCACGGUAAACGAUGGAUACCCGCUGUCCGGCCCGUACGGUCUGGGCGGCCAAGCGAAAGCGUUAAGUAUCCCACCUGGGGAGUACGCCGGCAACGGUGAAACUCAAAGGAAUUGACGGGGGCCCGCACAAGCGGAGGAACAUGUGGUUUAAUUCGAUGAUACGCGAGGAACCUUACCCGGGCUUGAAUUGCAGGAGAAUGAUUCAGAGAUGAUGAAGUCCCUCGGGACUCCUGUGAAGGUGCUGCAUGGUUGUCGUCAGCUCGUGCCGUGAGGUGUCGGCUCAAGUGCCAUAACGAGCGCAACCCCUCUCCGCAGUUGCCAUCGGGUGAUGCCGGGCACUCUGCGGACACUGCCGCCGCAAGGUGCGAGGAAGGUGGGGAUGACGUCAAAUCAGCACGGCCCUUACGUCCGGGGCCACACACGUGUUACAAUGGCCGGUACAGAGGGCUGUCCGCGCGCAAGCGUGGGUGAAUCCCUAAAUCCGGUCCCAGUUCGGACUGGGGUCUGCAACCCGACCCCACGAAGCUGGAUUCGCUAGUAAUCGCGCAUCAGCCAUGGCGCGGUGAAUACGUUCCCGGGCCU
rnacentral:rRNA from 1 species